rnacentral:rRNA from 1 species
AGCAGUAGGGAAUCUUCCACAAUGGGCGCAAGCCUGAUGGAGCAACACCGCGUGAGUGAAGAAGGGUUUCGGCUCGUAAAGCCCUGUUGUUAAAGAAGAACACGUAUGAGAGUAACUGUUCAUACGUUGACGGUAUUUAACCAGAAAGUCACGGCUAACUACGUGCCAG